GACGAACGCUGGCGGCGUGCUUAACACAUGCAAGUCGAACGGAAAGGCCUGCUUUCCCUUGUGGAUUGCGGGUACUCGAGUGGCGAACGGGUGAGUAACACGUGAGUGAUCUGCCCCCAACUUGGGUAUAAGCCUGGGAAACUGGGUCUAAUUCCCGAUAGGACUGCAGGGUGGUGCCUGUGGUGGAAAACGAUUUUCUAGUGGUUGGGGAUGAGCUCGCGGCCUAUCAGCUUGUUGGUGGGGUAAUGGCCUACCAGGGCGGCGACGGGUAGCCGGCCUGAGAGGGUGGACGGCCACAUUGGGACUGAGAUACGGCCCAGACUCCUACGGGAGGCAGCAGUGGGGAAUAGUGCACAAUGGGCGGAAGCCUGAUGCAGCGACGCCGCGUGGGGGAUGACGGCCUUCGGGUUGUAAACUCCUUUCGACCGCGAGGAAGCCACCUGGUUGGAAGGGUGGUGACGGUAGUGGUAGAAGAAGCACCGGCUAACUACGUG
rnacentral:rRNA from 1 species